rnacentral:rRNA from 1 species
UCAUUUUAGAGGAAGUAAAAGUUGUAACAAGGUCUCCGUUGGUGAACCAGCGGAGGGAUCAUU